rnacentral:rRNA from 1 species
UCUUUCGCUGACUGGCACUUGGAGAGUGGCAAGUCUUCCAGUAUGGGGAGCAAAACAGCUAUGGGUCAAGUCCGAUAUCUUUAGGAGAAGUCUUAUUGUGAGGGCGAGUUAUAUAACACCAUAGGACUGGCCGUCCCAUAUGAAAAGAUUAUAUUAGAAUUGAAUGAAGCUUUGUUUAUAUAUUGAUAAUGACAGUAUAUAUAUCGUGUCUUGACUAAUUGCGUGCCAGCAGUCGCGGUAAUACGUAAGAGACUAGUGUUAUUCAUCUUAAUUAGGUUUAAAGGGUACCCAGACGGUCAAUAUAGCUUAUAAAAUGUUAGUACUUGACUAGAGUUUUAUGUAAGAGGGCAGUACUUGAGGAGGAGAGAUGAAAUUUCGUGAUACCAAAGGGACUCUGUAAAGGCGAAGGCAGCCCUCUAUGUAAAAACUGACGUUGAAGGACGAAGGCACAGAGAACAAACAGGAUUAGAUACCCAAGUAGUCUUUGCAGUAAAUGAUGAAUGCCAUAGGUUAGAUUGGUCAAUUAUAGUCUAGGGUUAGUCUAGCAAACUAAUACCCUAUGCUAUAAUCCUAAUAUCUGGUCUAUAAAUGAAAGUGUAAGCAUUUCACCUCAAGAGUAAUGUGGCAACGCAGGAACUGAAAUCACUAGACCGUUUCUGACACCAGUAGUGAAGUAUGUUAUUUAAUCAAUGGAAUCCGAAAAAUUAAA